rnacentral:rRNA from 1 species
UACGGGGGGGCAAGCGUUGUUCGGAAUUACUGGGCGUAAAGGGCUCGUAGGCGGCCAACUAAGUCAGACGUGAAAUCCCUCGGCUUAACCGGGGAACUGCGUCUGAUACUGGAUGGCUUGAGUUCGGGAGAGGGAUGCGGAAUUCCAGGUGUAGCGGUGAAAUGCGUAGAUAUCUGGAGGAACACCGGUGGCGAAGGCGGCAUCCUGGACCGACACUGGACGUGAGGAGCGAAAGCCAGGG